rnacentral:rRNA from 1 species
AGCAGCCGCGGUAAUUCCAGCUCCAAUAGCGUAUAUUUAAGUUGUUGCAGUUAAAAAGCUCGUAGUUGAAUUUCGGGGUCAAUAAGUUGGUCGUGCCAAUGGUAUGCACUGGCUUUAUUGAUUCCUACCUCUUGACGAACUGUGAUGCCAUUAAUUUGGUGUCGCAAGGAAUCAGGACUGUUACCUUGAAAAAAUUAGAGUGUUUAAAGCAGGCUUACGCUUGAAUACAUUAGCAUGGAAUAAUGAAAUAGGACGUUUGAACCUAUUUUGUUGGUUUUUAGGAUCGACGUAAUGAUUAAUAGGGAUAGUUGGGGGCAUUAGUAUUCAAUUGUCAGAGGUGAAAUUCUUGGAUUUAUUGAAGACUAACUACUGCGAAAGCAUUUGCCAAGGAUGUUUUCAUUAAUCAAGAACGAAAGUUAGGGGAUCGAAGACGAUCAGAUACCGUCGUAGUCUUAACCAUAAACUAUGCCGACUAGGGAUCGGAUGAUGUUAAUUUUUAAUGACUCAUUCGGCGUCCG